CCUACGGGUGGCAGCAGUGAGGAAUAUUGGUCAAUGGGCGCGAGCCUGAACCAGCCAAGCCGCGUGAAGGAUGACUGCCCUACGGGUUGUAAACUUCUUUUAUAAAGGAAUAAAGUGAGACACGUGUGCCUUUCUGUAUGUACUUUAUGAAUAAGGAUCGGCUAACUCCGUGCCAGCAGCCGCGGUAAUACGGAGGAUUCGAGCGUUAUCCGGAUUUAUUGGGUUUAAAGGGUGCGUAGAUGGGUUGUUAAGUUAGUGGUGAAAGUUUGCGGCUCAACCGUGAAAUUGCAAUUGAUACUGGCAGUCUAGAGUGCAGUUGAGGUAGGCGGAAUGCGUGGUGUAGCGGUGAAAUGCUUAGAUAUCACAAAGAACUCCGAUUGCGAAGGCAGCUUACUAAGCUGCCACUGACGUUGAUGCACGAAAGUGUGGGUAUCAAACAGGAUUAGAUACCCGUGUAGUC
rnacentral:rRNA from 1 species